AAAACUUUUCGCUAAUAGAAGAGCCUAUGUAGGAUUAGGUAGUUGGUAUUUUGGGUAAAAGCCUACCAAGCCUAAGAUCCUUAGCUGUUCUGAGAGGUUGAACAGCCACACUGGGACUGAAACAAGGCCCAGGCUCCAUUUGGAGCCAGCAGUGAGGAAUUUUGGACAAUGAGCGAAAGCUUGAUCCAGCAAUACUACAUGAGUGAAGAAGGCUUUCAAGUUGUAACACUCUUUGGUUGAGGAGGAUAAUGACAGUACUCAACAAAAUAGCCCCGGCUAACUUCGUGCCAGCAGCCGCGGUAAGACGAAGGGGGCGAGCGUUAUCCGGAAUGACUGGGCGUAAAGGGUCCGUAGGCAGCAUUUUUUGUUGGAAGUUAAAUAAAAAAGCUUAACUUUUUUCCGCUUCUAAAACGUAAAUGCUUUGAGUUUGAUAGAAGAUAGCAGAAUUUCACAAGGAGGGGUGAUAUCCAGAGAUCUGUGAAGGAAUAUCAGAUGCGAAGGCGGCUAUCUAGAUCAACACUGACGUUGAGGGACGAAAGCAUGGGGAGCAAACAGGAUUAGAUACCCUGGUAGUCCAUGCCCUAAAAGAUGAGUGUUCGUGCUUAGAGAACUUUAGGCACUUAGUUAACACGUUAAACACUCCGCCUGGGGAGUACGAUCGCAAGGUUGGAACUCAAAGGAAUUGACGGGGGCCUAUACAAGUGGUGGAGCAUGUGGUUUAAUGCGAUAAUACGCGCGAAACCUUACCAGUUCUUGACAUAAAAAGAAAAAGUUUGAAAAAGCAAUUUUAAAGAUUUUUACAGGUGCUGCAUGGCUGUCGUAAGCUCGUGUCGUGAGAUGUUAGGUUAACUCCUUUUAACGGGCGAAACCCCUUUUUUUCGUUGCUACUUAAUUUUAUUUUUAAAGCACUCUAAAAAAACUGCUCCCUUUUUUUAAUUCGGAGAGGAAGGUGGGGAUGACGUCAAGUCCUUAUGGCCCUUAUGAACUGGGCUACACACGUGCUACAAUGGUAAAGACAAUAAGAAGUGAUAGGGUAACCUAAAACCAAUCUUUAAACUUUAUCAAAGUUCGGAUUGUGGACUGCAACUCGUCCAUAUGAAGGUGGAAUCACUAGUAAUCGCACAUCAGCAUGUUGCGGUGAAUUUGUACCUAGGCCUUGUACACACCGCCCGUCACGUGCCGGGAGUUGGC
rnacentral:rRNA from 1 species